rnacentral:tRNA from 1 species
GCUUCAUCUAGUAUGGUAGUUAUGACAUUCAGCUUGUAAUCGAGUGGGCUCGGGUUCGAAUCCCGAAUAAUGCU